GGCUGAGGGCUGAGGGGAUUGAGGGGGCUGAGAGGGCUGAGAGGGCUGAGGCGCUGAGGGGUUGAGGGGGCUGAGGGCUGGGGGGCUGAGGGCUGAGGGGGGUAAGGGCUGAGGGCUGAGGGAGCUGAGGGUUGAGGGGCUGAGGGGGCUGAGAGGGCUGAGGGGGCUGAGGGCUGAGGGGUUGAGGGAGCUGAGGGCUGAGGAGCUGAGGGGUUGAAGGCUGAGGGGCUGAGGGCUGAGGGGUUGAAGGGGCUGACGGGCUAAGGGGCUGAAGGGGCUGAGGGAGCUGAGGGCUGAGGAGCUGAGGGGUUGAAGGCUGAGGGGCUGAGGGCUGAGGGGUCUGAGGGCUGAGGGGUUGAAGGGGCUGAGGGGCUGAGAGGCUGAAGGGGCUGAGGGGCUGAAGGAGGCUGAGGCUGGGGUAGGCCUGGAGAUGGGGUGGUCAGCCUGGGGGCUGCAGGGGUCUCCCAAGGCCUCCCUGUGGGUCUUUCGAGGGCACAGGCCCUGCUCCCGGAGGCUGGGAGUUCUGGCCGCAGGGCCUGUCCUUCAGUUACUAGGCUCCAGAGGUCGGUCCCAGCGCCUCAGACACCCACAUCCAGCAGGGACAGGGACAGCUCGCGGCUGGGAUAGCGUCAGCCCUGGGCCACGGCGGCUUGGCACCACAUCCCGUGACAGCUCUGUCUCCAGGCGUGCUCCCCAGCCCUGCCUGAAGAUGAACCCCAAGCCCUCGCCAGUGGCCAGGUAGGAACAAGGCCAGGAGCCCUGUGGAGAGGAGCAGGGGACCACUGCGUGGACGGGGCAGGCUGGGGCACAAAGGGCACUGCUUCCUCUGGAUAGCGCUAACUCCGAGAGCUCGGGCUCCUAUCCCUAGCCGGGGCGCCUGGCCUCCUGCAGUCGGGUCCCCAGCGGGUGAGCCGGGCGCAGGUGGACCUGACCGAGGAGGCGGCCGGAGCCCCUGCGGGUGAGGCGGGAGCGGCGAGCAGGAGGGCUGACUCAGAAGGUUUAUUUGCAGCGCUGGCGGGGCGGACAAUUGGCGGCCUCGGGGU
rnacentral:lncRNA from 10 species